AUCACCUGGGCAUUGUGUUAAAAGGCAGAUUCUGGUUCAGUGGGCUGGGGCCUGAGAUUCUGCAUGUCUAACACGCUCCCAGCUGAUGCCAA
rnacentral:pre_miRNA from 1 species